AAAUCUUCUCCAAAUUGAUGUGAUUAUUAAAUGCUCUUGUUGUAGCCUGCUGAAGCCUUUGAGAGAGCCUGGAGAGUCCAUGCAAAAAGACUUGAGGGAAUGAUGGGACCUACAAAAAAAACACUCAUUUCAUUUGAGAUGGGAAAAAAAAGAGAAACCUACAGGUGGAGCAGAGAAAGUAAUCCAGAGGAUUACAGUGGUAGAGAAGCAGUGCCCUGCCUGAUUUUGGUGAUGCAACAGGCGCCGGUGAAGAUAACAUUGCUUUGGUAGAGAGCUGAUUUUCAAAUAUUACCUACAGGACAAAUCCUAUUGAAGAGGCUAAAUUUUCCCAGACAGCUGGUAAGUAAUCUUUUAUCAUUUCCAUCUUGAUCUUUGCUGCCUGAAGAAAGAACAUUUCAUCUGGUGU
rnacentral:lncRNA from 1 species